UAGAAUACGGUUCUUCAAUCAAUUGAAUCCAUUUCUUCCAUUUGUUUGAUAUGUUUCAUCCCGAGAAAAAUCACAAUUACAGAGUUUUUGUUGUUCUAUAACAUUGGUUUGAUUCACGGUAUUGAACUAUAGCUAAGUUGCAGAUUGUUGAUUUUGAGAGGAUUUUUGCAGAUCUGAGAAGAUGAAGACAAUAAUCUAGGAAGAAGAAACCAUAUUGUUUCAGAAGAAUAACAAUAAAAUUAGAUAUGCAAGCAUUUUAAAAUAAAGGAAGACAAUAAGGAAAUAGAGCAUGUCUAGUGUUUUAACGCGUUUGUUGUGUUCAAUAACAACCGAUUAUAUAGUUGAUAAACAUAGAAAUUAUUUCAAAUUAAUAUUAAAGCAAUACAUAUAUUUUUUGUA